rnacentral:lncRNA from 1 species
AGCCAGAAGCCCAGAACUGUGGCGGUGCCGCCAGAGUUUGCCUUCGCGCGCGCGAGUGUGGUCCCAACUCUGAGGACCGAAGCCACCCACCGGAGACUCCACUCCGGCUGCUUGUGCCCAGCGGGAUCGAGGCCUCGGGCCGUUCCACCUGGGUGCGCGCGGCUCUAGCCUGCAACCCCGCCUUCCCUGCCCAAGUCUCGCAACUCACCGCCCGACCCUCCUGCGGGAUGCGCGCGGCGAGGCGUCCGCCCGCAGCUCCGGGCUAGCUCAGAUCUGCGCGCGGCGGCCUUCCCUCCCCUCGGAGGUGGGUCUGGCGGAGCCGCAGCUGUUACCCGGAGACCGAGGGGCGGAAAAAACUGCGCCCGCCGCCCGCCCCUCCCGCCGCGGCGCUGCCUCCGCUGGGAACAAAGGAGACAAAGCCGCGUCGGCCGGCCCGGGCUCCGCUCCUUCCACCCCCCCACCCCCCGCCCGUCGGGCCGCCCUCCCCCCGCGCGCCGCCCGGACCAGGCCGGAAGCAGCCGGGAGAACGGGGUACGCGGCCCCAGCCAUCCGGGACCCCGCAUUCCGGUCCCGCGGGAUCCGAGUUUGUGAAGGGCCUGGGGGGGUGAUCAACCCCUCUCAUUAAAUGGGGGCUGCAGCGCCCGGGCGGUAGCCAUGGCAACGCAGACGUGUAGGGUGAGGAGCCGAGCCGGGAGCGUGGGCGGUCGGCCCCGCCCAGCCGGGCCUCACCUGCGCGCCGCUUAGGACCAAGAGGCUGCGGCCAUGGUUGCGAGCCUUAUUACCUGGGCGUUGAGAUACAGCACAGGAGCCUUUCCCCGUCCUGCCAGAGUUCGAGGGACCUGUGCCCCACACCUGCUCUGCCUGUUCCAUAACCACCAUCUUGACUAUCCCCAACGCACCUCGCCCAGCGCCCGGAGCGCCCUCAUUCCCUUCUAGAUCCCGGCCCUUGGAGCCAUCCUCUCCCCCCAACUUUCUUCACCUGGUCUCCUAGACGCCAGCUUCUCCUCUUCUCACCUGGCCCUGCCCACCUUUCCUUCUUUCAAUACUCCACAACACCCAACCUCUCCUUCCGGCCCCCACCCCUGGCUGUUUGAAGAGAGCCCGGGCUUUGGACCUGAGUUUGCGCCAUCACUAAGCCAUGUAACCUGACACCCCUCCCCCCCCCCCCCACACACACACCCGGACCUAUUUGCUCCCUGACUAAUAGGGGGUAAUACCACCAAAGCUGAACUGUGUAAGCAGGGCAUACUGGCUAUGAGGUGCAGAAAUAGGGUCUUAUUUCCUUCCCUCCUCCACGGCCUGUACCUGGAGCCAUGCAGAACUCAGAAGUCUUGAGCAAGUCUGGACUCCCUCCUUGGAAAACACCUGGGUCUUUCUGGGAAGGAAACCCUGGGCAGAGGUUCUCUCCUGAGGGCGUUUUAUGCAGGGCGGUUCACACCCGGGCUUACCAAUGGCAAUCUGUGGAGCCAGGACCUGACCCAUCCUGAGGGCUUUUGAAGGACUUUGGCUCAAGGCCAUUGGCAUAGUGUCCAGAAAGGGAAAAACUGCAUACACGUCACCUGGAAGCCUCUAAGGUUAGAGGGCUCUAAAUCGGGGGAAGCCGUCUUCCGUAUCUGCCACUUCACUAAGGGCUGAUGCCAGGCUGCUCUACCAUCACACCCUCAGACUCCCGUGGGGUGGGGUGGGGGUGGGGUGCUGGCUUGAUUUAUGUCAACUUGACAGAAGUUUGAGUUAUCUGAAAGAAUGAACUUCAGUGGGGAAAUCUCUCCAUAAGAUCCCCCUGUAGGGCAUCUUCUUAAUUAGUGAUUGACAGGGGCGGUCCCAGUCCAUUGAGGGUGGGGCCCCCCUGGGCUGGUAGCCCUGGGUUCUGUAAGAAAGCAUACUGAGCAGUAAGCGGCACCCCUCCACGAGGUUCUGGCCCUGCUUGAGUUCCUGUCCUGUCCUGUCCUGUUCUGUUCCUGUCAGUGAUUAACAAUGAUGUGGAAGUGUAAGCCAAAUAAACCCUUUCCUCCCC